CUCUCAUGGACAUAAGUAUUCAUACCCUUUACUAUGACACUUGAAAUUUAGCUUUGGCUCCUCCCAUUUCUCUUCGUCAUCUCUGAGAUGUUCCUACACCUUGAUUGGAGUCACCUGUGGUAAAUUCAGGUGAUUGGACGGGAUUUGGAAAGACACCGCUCUGCCUGGAGUUUGCACAAAAGAAAAAAUACUCUCAGACUUUGCACCUAAAAAACUCUCAGACGAAACAGAUUAAACUGAAAUUGAAGUGUCACGUCUGGAGAUAACCAGCUGUUGUGGUGGACUGCAGUACCGCAUGGCACCACCAUAUAGGAUUCAGGUGGUUGGCAAUAGAGAUGGAAGCCUGGUGAAAUCCAAGCCAAAGGAGAGGACACAGCUUACUAAUAUUCCGGAUGCAUGGACCUAUAUAUUCUACAUCUCUACGCUAUGGAUUAUUGCCACAUUUCUUUGCCAAGUUUUUCUUCAGUUCCAACGCUGACUACAUCCUCCCACUCCUAGAUCUUCUCCUGACGAAGAAUUCUAUCUGCAUGUUGUUCCAGUUCUGUUCAUGGAUUUGACUCUGUUAUCUACUAUUGAUUUAUUUGACUAUUAUUAAAGAAAGAGGACUAUCUCUAGCAUACAGGACCUUAUAUCACCUGGGCUGGAUGCUCAUUGGCCAGUACCUUGACCAGCAUGUUCGGCUGUGCAUACCUGUACUGAUA